rfam:Clunio marinus genome assembly, contig: CLTMA_superscaffold_15
AAAACAUGGCAUUCGGUGAUUAUCCUCCUGAGUAUAAUCCAAAAAUUCAUGGAGUUUACGAUCCAGCACGGUACUAUGGAAAACGUGAGUAAAUAUUUGA